UACGUAGGGUGCGAGCGUUAAUCGGAAUUACUGGGCGUAAAGUGUGCGCAGGCGGCUCCGCAAGUCAGGCGUGAAAGCCCCGGGCUUAACCUGGGAACUGCGUCUGAUACUGGAAGGCUUGAGUAUGGGAGAGGGAUGGUAGAAUUCCAGGUGAUAGCGGUGAAAUGCGUAGAUAUCUGGAGGAACAUCGGUGGCGAAGGCGACAUCCUGGACCGGUAUUGACGCUGAGGCGGCGAAAAGCCAGGGGAGCAAACGGG
rnacentral:rRNA from 1 species